rnacentral:rRNA from 1 species
GCCAGCAGCCGCGGUAAUACGUAGGGCGCAAGCGUUGUCCGGAAUUAUUGGGCGUAAAGAGCUCGUAGGCGGUCUGUCGCGUCUGGUGUGAAAACCCGAGGCUCAACCUCGGGCUUGCAUCGGGUACGGGCAGACUAGAGUGCGGUAGGGGAGACUGGAAUUCCUGGUGUAGCGGUGGAAUGCGCAGAUAUCAGGAGGAACACCGAUGGCGAAGGCAGGUCUCUGGGCCGCAACUGACGCUGAGGAGCGAAAGCAUGGGGAGCGAACAGGAUUAGAUACCCUGGUAGUCCAUGCCGUAAACGUUGGGCACUAGGUGUGGGGCUCAUUCCACGAGUUCCGUGCCGCAGCUAACGCAUUAAGUGCCCCGC